AUACGUAGGUGGCAAGCGUUGUCCGGAAUUAUUGGGCGUAAAGCGCGCGCAGGUGGUUCUUUAAGUCUGAUGUGAAAGCCCACGGCUCAACCGUGGAGGGUCAUUGGAAACUGGGGAACUUGAGUGCAGAAGAGGAAAGUGGAAUUCCAAGUGUAGCGGUGAAAUGCGUAGAGAUUUGGAGGAACACCAGUGGCGAAGGCGACUACCUGGACCGAUACUGACACUGAGGAGCGAAAGCGUGGGGAGC
rnacentral:rRNA from 1 species